rnacentral:lncRNA from 1 species
UCAAUUAUGCAAAAACUACAGUUCAAAGAUCAUUCACAUAUUGACAAAGUAAUCCUAGUUUCUUUUGAGGAAAAUGGAAGUCAAUGCUACUUUUGUUUUGUGCACUUGUCCUUUCUUAGAUUCUCUUGUGCAGGUGAUCAGAGUAAUUGCAAAUUAGAAGGGACUCGGAGAGCGACCAGCCACCAACCUGAUCCCCAUCGUAGGGCACCAGCAUUGAAUGCCUCUCAACGCAUUUCCCUGCUUAUUAUGCCUUACUUAAUGUCUUCUUAUUUCUUGUUUCAUAAUUAUGACCAAAAUGAUGAUAAUAAAUCCUUCAGUGUAUAAUCCUCAGAAUGCUGUCGAUGUUAUCAUGAUGCUUUACUCUGUGUUCUCGACUUCAACUUUGACUUCCUCUGUGUGACACCUCGGAUGAUCGACUCGUCUUCCACCAUGCAUGUUUCGAUUGGCCCAUCGUUUCAAGGCUAAGCCCAACUUUUUAUCUCCUAGUCAUCAUCCUCAUCUCUUUGGAUUGGAGUCCCACAAACCCCUGAGAGUUGGAACAUGAAUCGAUAAUAAUGAUCCAUCAAAGUCAUACAUUAUAUAAAUGGGAUGACCAUACUACCAAGGAGGAGAAAGAGAAAUGCACUUGCACUCUUAACAGCUACACUGUAUGCUUUCAAUUCCAAUCCUAAUGGCAUGUUUGGCAAUCAAUGCUCAUUCAAUCUGGUCAACUGUGUGAACAGAAGAUGGAAUAUGACUGCUCUACAACAUCUGCCUCCGAUUCUUACAUAUUGGAUCGAGGAUAAUAUCCCGUUAUCGUAUCCCUAUGAUCUUAAUCUCAACCAAUUACUAAUUGACGUCUAUCUAUCUAUCUAAUUAGUUGGGGAAGAGAAGAAUGAAUGAAGUCUUAUUAAUCGGUGAGACCGUCUAAUUUUUCAUAGAUUUGAAUCCGAGUGCUAAUUGGAUCCCUUUUUUUCGGGUUAUCGGAUUCCAUUGCUAGUUGACUUUUUCUAUUUUUUUUCUCCUUCCUUUUUGUUCUCCGAAUUCCGCUAAUGCUAACGUCUACUCCGAUCAUGCAUCCUAAUUUCGACCGUCAGAUUCAUCUACGGACGAUCCAACGGCUCACACACUUCACCGGCUCUUCCCGGUUCCCCGAUGCCCCCCUGCGGCUGGUCAACAGUUCUCCUGCAGCGCCCAACGCUCUCCCGGUCCCACCCCCACUCAUCAUUUCCCGCACCUCCUGAACCCACCGAAAAAUAAGGACCCUCCAGCAAACCCACCAAUAUAUCCCUCUCCAUGCCGGGCCCCGUAAGCCUAAAGCGAUGAGGUCAAACUCGGGUACGUCGGCAUGAGUGAUUCUACAUUCGAAUAUAUAAUAAUUGUGGGACUUAAGGAGGUGCUUUCCUCGUGAUUGCAUCCACCAUUACCACCCACUUGCCGAGAAAGUCCACCACCUCCAUUGUUUGUUUGUAUGUUUGUUUCAGUGGUGUGCGAGGCCACCACCACCAAACCCACUGGUUUACCCCAACCCUCCCCUCCCUCUCUCUCUCUCUCUCUCUCUCUCUCUGAGUCAAAGCACACGCAGAUCCCACUAAUAAACAAUCUUAAUUCUACGCCCAUCUACUAAUAAUACACGGAGAUUAUGUUGACCUGCCAUCUAAUGUAAUCAUGAUCCGGCGUUGAGAUUUCUCGAUGCCUCGUGAUUGGGGAAAAUGUUAUGAUGAUGAUGAAAGGGUCUACUAAAGCAUAUGGUCGUACCUGCUUUGUGGAAGAGGGCGCCUCCCUUUGGUGAUGCCAUCACGAGAGAGGAGUUGUGAUCGUAGCCGUCCGAUGAUAAAGUACCCUUUGACUUCAUCCUCGGUCCCCACUCACCAUGAAUAAAUGUAACCCCCUUCUCG